CGGCCCCAGGUCAGGCCAGGCUACCUGCUGAGUUCAAGCAUAUCAAUAAGCGGAGG
rnacentral:rRNA from 1 species